AUUGGUUGCAUUUAAUGGAUAAUGAAAUUAGAUUCCUAUUUAUUUUAUUAUAUUUAAGAUAAAAUUGAAAGCUAAAUGUAAUGUUGGCUUCGUGUUAUCAUAGGUUGUAUCCUCCGGUAGUACCGCCAUGUCAUACUUCGAAUCUGGGGCUUGACAAAUGAUGCCAGCUAUCACCAUGCAAUUAUCAUGCCUCUCGAUAAAUAAGGCAACGGAUACCCGCCCCAUCCUAUAUAUAGAGGUGAUAGGAGGACCCUCAGGUAAGCACUCUUUUGCUCUUAUUUUUUCUUUUUCUCUCAUCGUUGCUCUAGAUUUUUACUAACUUAAGCAUUGGAGGGUCCCCUUGUCGGAAACCUUCUGACAAGAGAACUUCCUUGCAGGCUAUGCUCGCCUUCUAAAGCAGCGACGGUGAUCCAUCAACGUCUUGAAGCUACUCCUCAGCUCUUGGCCGACCCGCUUUCACCUUGGGAUCGGCUGACCCAGUGGAGCUCGGGUGGAACCUCAACAGAUGGUGUAACUUUAAUGGGCUGGAAGGUGUAGGACUAGACAGUGUAAACCUGUGCUAUAAUAUGUUG
rnacentral:lncRNA from 1 species